AUUAACUCAAAGCAAAACCUAGCUCUAUAAAUCGCUAUUUAAACAAUCCAUAAGCCGCCUUCCAUAAUACACUUCUUUCGUUCAUCUUCACCGAAUUCUUCGAUCCAAAUAAUUUCGAUCUGGCUUUUCUUUUUACCUGAUGAUGUGUUUCUCUCCGAUUUUCUGGUGUGGUUUUCAUGUAUUAAUUAUACGUCAAUAUUGCAUCUGGUUUACCCUCUCCCUGUAUAUGAUGUUAUGUGUGUACCAAAUGUAGCAAUCGAAGGUAAUUUUUCAUUUAUUUCAUCUUGACAUAUUUUGUUAAUUGAGAUACCAAUGGACUAGUUUAAAAAUAAGUCAUUGUGUCAAAAUUUUAGCUUUCGGUCAGAUAAUCAAGUAUUCAUCUAGCGAUAAAUUUUAUAUCGAUAUUGGGCUUAUUUCGAAACUCAUAUUAAAUGACGAAUUUUGUACUCGAGAAAAAGUUAUUUCGGAUAAACUAGGCUAAGUUAUUGAAGUUCAAAAGAAGUUAUAUUUGAGCAAUUGACAUUUUAGCGCCACGAGUAUCACUAGAUAGUUGGAAUUUGAUAUUUUGAUUGAUAAUAUAUAUAUAUAUAUAUAUAUAUAUAGACACACACACACAUGCACACACGACAAACCCGUUAAAGAAAGCAUUUUUACAUUUGAGAUUUGGAGAGUUCCGUUCAAGUAGAUAUUGUCUUAUCACUUCGAAUUAAGGUAGGAUCCCUACAUGAAGUUGUUGUUAUAUGAAUUAAAUUUUCAUUUAAACAUGUUAUUCGUUAUAUUUGCUCAUGAAGUAUAUGAAGUGCUAGUUUUUCUUAAAUUUUGAUGCAUGAAAGAUUAUAUUUGUUUAAACCGAUGAUUGAGGAGACCCAUCAGAAAGUAGAUAAUUUGAUCAUCGAUUUGCUUAUUUAUGGAGGCAACAUGAUGCUCAUUCCUAUUUAAUCUUUUAGAGUAAUCGGAUAUCUAGCGGUGGUUCGUCAUAAAUGGCAUGUGCCUUUUUUAGAGAAAUUUAUUUCUUAUGUUUUAGAUUGUCGCUUUUAUGUUUAAUAAUCAUUUGGUGUCCUAUAAAUUGUAGUUUAAAUUCAUGUUCUUAGGAGGAAAUUUUUUAAAGUUUGAAGUUUGAACGUGUAUUUUUAGUAAAUUUCAGAAUUUUCUCGAUGUUUUUAAAAUUGUGCUAUGGUCGGUAUGUUUAGAAUUUUAGCAUGUUUUUAAUUGGAAAAUGAUCGACUUUAGUUAACUAUGACGGUCAAAUUCGGGAAACACGAACCAGCUUGUUCGAAAAAUAAUUUCGUGCUUCAAACGUAAUCGUCGAGAUCCCGAAUUUUAUAUGUUGUACCUAUAUGAGUUCUAUACUUUAUGUAAAAUUUUAUAAAUUUUCAUCAAGAUUUGCUAGAUCAAAUAAUUUCGCAACCGUAUAAAACUGUU
rnacentral:lncRNA from 1 species